GUCAAUAUGAUAGUUUUUGUUAUAUGAUCUUUUUUCUUAUUCAUUAUUUAUUUAUGGUGGCUGUUUUUUUUUUUUUAAUUAAGGCAUAGAAAUUUAUUUUUUAUAACUUUUAAUAGAUAAGCCUCUUCUAGUCUUAAAGUGUUCGCAUUUAUAUUAUUGGAUGUGUUUUCAAUUUACACCCUAACAUAAUUAUAAAUGUGUACAAAAAUAUAAUUAAUUGAAGUUUUUCACUGGGAC
rnacentral:lncRNA from 1 species